AGUUUGGUUUGCUUGCAACCAAAGCUGGCGACCGGCGCACGGGUGAGUAACACGUAUCCCAUCUGCGUCAUACUCGGGGAUAGCCUUUCGAAAGAAAGAUCAUUAUCCGAUAGCAUAUAUUUCCCGCAUGGGUUUUAUAUUAAAGAAAUUCGGUAUGAGAUGGGGAUGCGUUCCAUUAGUUUGUUGGGGGGGUAACGGCCCACCAAGACUACGAUGGAUAGGGGUUCUGAGAGGAAGGUCCCCCACAUUGGAACUGAGACACGGUCCAAACUCCUACGGGAGGCAGCAGUGAGGAAUAUUGGUCAAUGGACGCGAGUCUGAACCAGCCAAGUAGCGUGAAGGAUGACUGCCCUAUGGGUUGUAAACUUCUUUUAUAUGGGAAUAAAGUGGUCCACGUGUGGACUUUUGUAUGUACCAUAUGAAUAAGGAUCGGCUAACUCCGUGCCAGCAGCCGCGGUAAUACGGAGGAUCCGAGCGUUAUCCGGAUUUAUUGGGUUUAAAGGGAGCGUAGGCGGAUUGUUAAGUCAGUUGUGAAAGUUUGCGGCUCAACCGUAAAAUUGCAGUUGAUACUGGCAGUCUUGAGUGCAGUAGAGGUGGGCGGAAUUCGUGGUGUAGCGGUGAAAUGCUUAGAUAUCACGAAGAACUCCGAUUG
rnacentral:rRNA from 1 species